AAGGCAGAGAAGCAAGGGACAGAGAAGGACAGAAAGGACAGAAGGACAGAGAGGCCUGCAGGGAGCAUGUGGGAGCUGGGAGAGAGAGGAAAAGAGAGAGAACCUGGUGUCCAGCAGUCCUUUUAUUCUCCAGGCCACCUGCACAUAGCAGCAGCAGGUAAAGAGCCAUUGCUGGGUCUCUGGGAGGAGCCCAGCAGAAUCACUUGUGAGCUACGCAGUCCUGGAGGCAUUUCACCGGGACACGUGCUGCUGGUCAAUCGUGACUAACGGAGACCUCCAGUUCUCUCUGUCUUCUCCAUGCUCCUCCCUUCUCUCUUCUCCUUCCUCUCGUGGUCCCUACCUGCACCCCCAGCGAGGUAACUUGAAGAUCUGCCUACCUCUAUUUCCUCCAGUCAUUGGUUGUAGCCAUUUUUAUUUAACCAAUAGUUUUAGCUUGGGGGGCAAGGUUUGCACAACAAAAGCUGCUGUAUGUCUUGGGGCAACCAGGUCUUGGGGUACAGAAUUGAGCAUUUGCGUACAUAGCAGUGCCAGACCAACCCCCAACAUAGUAAGGUUGUAAGAGGGAACGCUGAGCCCACCCUGAGCAGGUGGCCGAGUUGCAUCAGGAAGCCGGUGGGCGAGCAUGAGCAGGAGAAAGCAAGACAUGCAAUCCAUCCUGUUUCUUCUUGCUGACCCUUCCACUGAAAUCGAGGUGUCCGCGUGAUGGAACUGAAAUGGAAAGGCUGACAUAAAACGAGCUGUUUGCGUUAAGCUCUGAGAAGUCUACAGAGGGAAGAGCUGCCGCAAUCUGCCUGUUCACAGAACCCAUGGAGACGGUGACCGAGAUGGUGGUGCCGGGCUGCUGCUCGCUAGAAAUUUGGGGUCAAUCAUUUGAAAGAUGUUUUCAAAGAAUUUUAUUUCCAGGAACUGCAAUGAGUACCACAAGACAUGCAAAGGCAAGGGAUGUGUGUGGGGUGGAAGAACUUUCUCUGUCCCUUUGUUUAAAAGUUUGAUUCACUUUACAAUUUUAUUUUAUUUUUAAAAGUUUUAAAGAUCUUUUUAUUUGUAUAUGUGUAUGAGUAUGUGUGUGUAUGUAUGUGUAUAUGUGUGUGUGUGUAUGAGUGCAUGUGUGUAUGUGUAUGUGGUGUGUGUGUAUGUAUGUGUGUAUGUGUGUGUGUGGUGUGUGUGUGUGUGGUGUGUGUGUGAUGUGUGUAUGUGUGUGUGAUGUGUGUGUGUAUGUGUAUGUGUAUAUGUGGUGUAUGUGUGUGUGGUGUGUGUAUGGUGUGUGUGUAUGUGUGUGUGUAUGUGUGUGUGUAUGUGUGUGGUAUGUGUGUGUGGUGUGUGUGUAUGUGUGUAUGUGUGGUAUGUGUAUGUGUGUGUUGUGUAUGUGUGUGUUGUGUUUAUAUGUGUGUAUAUGUGUGGUGUGUGUGUGUGUGUGGUGUGUGUGUAUGUGUAUGAGUGCAUGUGUGUAUGUGUGUGGUGUGUGUGUGGUGUGUGUAUGUGUGUGUGUGGUGUGUGUAUGGUGUGUGUGUAUGUGUGUGUUGUGUGUGUGUGUUGUGUGUGUUGUGUGUGUGUGUUGUGUGUGUAUGUGUGGUAUGUGUAUGUGUGUGUUGUGUGUGUGUGUUGUGUAUGUGUGUGUUGUGUGUGUUGUGUGUGUGUGUUGUGUGUGUAUGUGUGGUAUGUGUAUGUGUGUGUUGUGUGUGUGUGUUGUGUGUGUAUGUGUGUAUGUGUGGUAUGUGUAUGUGUGUGUUGUGUGUGUGUUGUGUAUGUGUGUGUUGUGUUUAUAUGUGUGUAUAUGUGUGGUGAGUGUGUGUGUGUGUGGUGUGUGUGUAUGUGUAUGAGUGCAUGUGUGUAUGUGUAUGUGGUGUGUGUAUAUGUGUGUGUAUGUGUUUGUGUGUGUAUAUGUGUAUGUGUGUGUGGUGUGUGUGUGUGUGUGUGUGUGUGUGUGUGUGUGUGUGUGUACAUGUGAAUUCAGGUGUCCAUAGAAACCAAAGCAUCAGAUUCCCCUGGAUCUGGAGUUGGAAGUAGUUGGGAGACACCCAGCACGGGUGCUGUAAAACAUACCAAAAAUAUAACAUGUUACUCACUUCCAAAUGUGCAGAUAAGUUUAUUUUUAAAUCAGUCAAUUAAAUGUUUUGGAUGU